UCCAGCUCUGCGGCUCCUGCCUUACCUGGCUAAAUUGGUCCAUCUGCACAGAGCAGCCGGGCUGCCAGACAGCUCAGCCCCGUCUGAAAGCCGGAGGCACCAAUGCCUUUGCUAAUUGGACCUGUUGCCGCGGCCGUUUUUCGUUUUGUUUUCCUUCCAGGCAGCGGUCGGGGCGCGCUGGGGGUAGCAGAGCCCUGCCAGGCGCUCCCAUCUGUGCCAGGAGGGCAGGACCCGAAACCAGCUGGAGGACGCCAAUCCCUCCGCCCAUCCCUUCCCCGCGUGCAGCCGUGGGAGGGGAGCGGGGACUCAUCCCUCGGCACGGAGCUAGGUAGCACCCGUCCCCUCCGUGCCACGCGUGGGGCUGUCACCGCAGACUGGACCGCAGCCAUUCGAGGCGGGGCUGAAGCACCGAGGAGCCGCGGCCGCCUCGUUCCGUCCGUAUCAACCUGGAGCACCGGGUCCGGAGGAGCCAAUAAACCGAGAUGCGGCCACGCGAAGGAGAUGGAGGCAUUCGCUCGAGAGCAUCUGACAGCUCGGGGCGAGCGGAGAGCUGGCGCUGGAGGAGAGGGGGUAAUUCCAGUCUGCACCCACUCCCUCAUUUAGCGGCGGAGCUUCCCACGCCCGCACGCAGCCCGCAGCUCUUCCCCCACCCCCCCUUCCCACCGCUGCCCCCCGCACCCAGGGGUCCACGCAGCCUUUACCUCGGCGAUGGCUGCCUCGGUUCAUCCCCUUCUCCCUCGCCCUGUUGCUGGAGGAGCGGCGGUGGAAUUACACCCCUCCUGCUCCACACCCCCGCGUUCCCGUACCGUCUCCUGGCCAAACCCCGUUCGUUGCCUGCUGUUAUUUUUAGCUUCUGGGAGCACUGAUCUUUUUUUCUUAAUGGCACACGUGUGCUACGAGAGGAGCGCACACAGAGCUGUGGUACCACGGGUCCCAGCGCAGCGAGCACCCCAUGGGGCAGAAGGGCAUCUCUUUGGCCCCCCCUCCCCCCUUUGAAUCGCAGCCUGCAGAGCCCUGGGGGCUGCCAGCCCCUAGGCUGUCCCCUCUACAAAUGGGGAAUGGCCACAACUCCUCUUCCUGGGGAUAAAUCAGGAAUGUAGCAGAGAUAGAGCAGUAUGCAGGCUCCUUGCACCCAGUGCUGCUUCCACACACCUGAGCACAGAGCACCUCCCUACCGGGGGGCGGGGGGAAACAGAAGAAGACAAGCAGCCUUUAUCUCUAAAUACCUCUAUUAGGAGGUGGGAAUCUGAUUUGAGGCACCUGGCGAUGCCCUUAGAGGGAUGAAUUAAGGACUGCAGGGGUGGGGUGCUCCUCCUUAAUGCCACAUGAAGGAGAAAACUCGUGUUUGGGACCAUCUCCAGCACCCCAUCCCCGCUCCAGGAUGUGCACCCAUCAGACCAGACCUCACUAUCAGCCAGGACCCCAGCACUGCCUGCAGCCCCCGGGCAGCACAAGGCGCUUGGAGCCAUCCUGCAGCUCAGCAGGAAGAUAAAUCAGGAGCAAAGCACAGGGCUGGCAGCUUGCUGCUGGACUAUGGCCCCUUCGAGGACAGCUCUGCUGCUCUCCGUCAGGAUUUUCCAAUCAUCGUAAUAAAGUGGAAGCUGAUUUACUGCCCUCA
ensembl:lncRNA